rnacentral:rRNA from 1 species
GUGAGGAAUAUUGGUCAAUGGGCGGGAGCCUGAACCAGCCAAGUCGCGUGAAGGAAGAAGGAUCUAUGGUUCGUAAACUUCUUUUGCAGGGGAAUAAAGUGCAGGACGUGUCCUGUUUUGUAUGUACCCUGAGAAUAAGGAUCGGCUAACUCCGUGCCAGCAGCCGCGGUAAUACGGAGGAUCCGAGCGUUAUCCGGAUUUAUUGGGUUUAAAGGGUGCGUAGGUGGUUUGAUAAGUCAGCGGUGAAAGUUUGCAGCUUAACUGUAAAAAUGCCGUUGAAACUGUCGGACUUGAGUGUAAAUGAGGUAGGCGGAAUGCGUGGUGUAGCGGUGAAAUGCAUAGAUAUCACGCAGAACUCCGAUUGCGAAGGCAGCAUACUAAGCUACAACUGACACUGAAGCACGAAAGCGUGGGGAUCAAACAGGAUUAGAAACCCCGGUAGUCC